rnacentral:rRNA from 1 species
AUACGGAGGGUGCAAGCGUUAUCCGGAUUCACUGGGUUUAAAGGGUGCGUAGGAGGGCAGGUAAGUCAGUGGUGAAAUCUCCAAGCUUAACUUGGAAACUGCCGUUGAUACUAUCUGUCUUGAAUACCGUGGAGGUGAGCGGAAUAUGUCAUGUAGCGGUGAAAUGCUUAGAUAUGACAUAGAACACCAAUUGCGAAGGCAGCUCGCUACACGAAUAUUGACUCUGAGGCACGAAAGCGUGGGGAUCAAACAGGAUUAGAUACCCUGGUAGUCCACGCCCUAAACGAUGGAUACUCGACAUACGCGAUACACAGUGUGUGUCUGAGCGAAAGCAUUAAGUAUCCCACCUGGGAAGUACGACCGCAAGGUUGAAACUCAAAUGAAUUGGCGGGG